rnacentral:snoRNA from 1 species
ACGUGAAUGAAGAAUUUCCAUCCUUGCUCUGCGAGUCGUAGGGCAUUCACUCGGGGAACACUGAUGAGCACAGUAGCAUCGGGUUACUGUAGACGAGUUAGUGAAUCCUCGUGUGGUUCUGCGCCGGUGAACAGUUAUGGCCACUGACACGU